rnacentral:lncRNA from 1 species
AAAAAGAAUUAAAGUAAAAGAGUCCCAUAUCUUGAUUUAAAGCUUAAUGUAAAGCAACCAUACUCAGGAUAAUGUGAUAAAAUAUGCAGGGUACACAUAAAGACAAUUAAUAAUAGAGUACAAAAUUAAACUCAGUCACCUGUAGUCAACUCAUACUUUUUUUUUAUGUGUAUAAAGUUACAUUUGUUUAAUGUACUUCCAAUAGCAUAUUGAAUUUUUUAAUAAGGGUCCUACAUCUUCAUUUUUCACUGAACUCACAAACUAUGUAGCCAGUGCUAUAUUUUAUCAUAUAUAAAUGGAGAGAUGUAGAGCAGAGUUCUUCCUAAGUGCCAUAUCACACUGUGCAGCCAGGCAUUUGAUUCCAUUUUAAUAUAUUUUUUUUAAUUAGGUAUUUUCCUCAUUUACAUUUCCAAUGCUAUCCCAAAAGUCCCCCACCCACUCCCCUACCUACCCACUCCCACUUUUUGGCCCUGGCGUUUCCCUGUACUGAGGCAUAUAAAGUUUGCAAGUCUAAUGGGCCUCUCUUUCCAGUGAUGGCUGACUAGGCCAUCUUUUGAUACAUAUGCAGCUAGAGUGAAGAGCUCCGGGGUACUUCUUAGUUCAUAAUGUUGUUCUACCUAUAGGGUUGCAGAUCCCUUUAGCUCCUUGGGUACUUUCUCUAGCUCCUCCAUUGGGGGCCCUGUGAUCCAUCCAAUAACUGACUGUGAGCAUCCACUUCUGUGUUUGCUAGGCCCCGGCAUAGUCUCACAAGACACAGCUAUAUCUGGGUCCUUUCAGUAAAAUCUUGCUAGAAUAUGCAAUGGUGUCAGCGUUUGGAAGCUGAUUAUGGGAUGCAACCCUGAAUAUGGCAGGCUCUAGAUGGUCCAUCCUUUUGACACAAUUCCAAGCUUUGUCUCUGUAACUCCUUCCAUGGGUGUUUUGUUCCCAAUUCUAAGAAGGGGCAAAGUGUACACACUUUGGUCUUCGUUCUUCUUGAGUUUCAUGCAUUUAGCAAAUUGUAUCUUAUAUCUUGGGUAUCCUAAGUUUAUGGGCUAAUAUCCACUUAUCAGUGAGUACAUAUGGUGUGCGUUGCUUUGUGAUUGGGUUACCUGACUCAGGAUGAUACCCUCCAGGUCCAUCCAUUUGGCUAGGAAUUUCAUAAAUUCAUUCUUUUUAAUAGCUGAGUAGUACUCCAUUGUGUAAAUGCACCACAUUUUCUGUAUCCAUUCCUCUGUUGAGGGGCAUCUGGGUUCUUUCCAGCUUCUGGCUAUUAUAAAUAAGGCUGCUAUGAACAUAGUGGAGCAUGUGUCCUUCUUACCGGUUGGAACAUCUUCUGGAUAUAUGCCCAGGAGAGGUAUUGCAGAAUCCUCUGGUAGUACUAUAUCCAGUUUUCUGAGGAACCGCCAGACUGAUUUCCAGAGUGGUUGUACAAGCUUGCAAUCCCACCAACAAUGGAGGAGUGUUCCUCUUUCUCCACAUCCUCGCCAGCAUCUGCUGUCACCUGAAUUUUUGAUCUUAGCCAUUCUGACUGGUGUGAGGUGGAAUCUCAGGGUUGUUUUGAUUUGCAUUUCUCUGAUGAUUAAGGAUGCUGAACAUUUUUUUCAGGUGCUUCUCAGCCAUUCAGUAUUCCUCAGGUAAGAAUUCUUUGUGUAGCUCUGAGCCCCAUUUUUAAUGGGGUUAUUUGAUUUUCUGAAGUCCACCUUCUUGAGUUCUUUAUAUAUAUUGGAUAUUAGUCCCCUAUCUGAUUUAGGAUAGGUAAAGAUCCUUUCCCAAUCUUUUGGUGGUCUUUUUGUCUUAUUGACGGUGUCUUUUGCCUUGCAGAAGCUUUGGAGUUUCAUGAGGUCCCAUUUGUCUGUCAAUUCUCGAUCUUGCAGCACAAGCCAUUGCUGUUCUAUUCAGGAAUUUUUCCCCUGUACCCAUAUCUUCGAGGCUUUUCCCUACUUUCUCCUCAAUAAGUUUCAGUGUCUCUGGUUUUAUGUGGAGUUCCUUAAUCCACUUAGAUUUGACCUUAGUACAAGGAGAUAGGAAUGGAUCAAUUCACAUUCUUCUACAUGAUAACCGCCGGUUGUGCCAGCACCAUUUGUUGAAAAUGCUGUCUGUUUUCCACUGGAUGGUUUUUGAUCCCUUGUCAAAGAUCAAGUGACCAUAGGUGUGUGGGUUCAUUUCUGGGUCUUCAAUUCUAUUCCAUUGGUCUACUUGUCUGUCGCUAUACCAGUAUCUCCAAAAUAGACCACAUAAUUGGACACAAAACAAGCCUCAACAAAUAUAAAAAUAUAGAAAUCGUCCCAUGCAUCCUAUCAGAUCACCAUGGACUAAGGCUGAUCUUCAAUAACAAAAUAAAUAAUAGAAAGCCAACAUUCAUGUGGAAACUGAACAACACUCUCCUCAAUGAUACCUUGGUCAAGGAAGGAAUAAAGAAAGAAAUUAAGGACUUUUUGGAGUUUAAUGAAAAUGAAGCCACAACAUACCCAAACUUAUGGGACACAAUGAAAGCAUUUCUAAGAGGAAAACUCAUAGCUCUGAGUGCCUCCAAAAAGAAACUAGAGAGAGCACACAUUAUCAGCUUGACAACACACCUAAAAGCUCUAGAACAAAAGAAAGCAAAUUCACCCAAGAGGAGUAGACGGCAGGAAAUAAUCAAACUCAGGGGCAAAAUCAACCAAGUGGAAACAAGAAGAGCUAGUCAACUCAUACUUGACAAGAGUGCCAGGGCAGUUCAACAGGACAUCCAUUUUAAAAGAAUAUAGUGAAACUCAUGGAUACCUACAUGAGAAGAAAGAAAAUUGGAACUUUACGUGUUAAAAUUAUACUCUCAAUGGGCAAAAGUCUUGGGAAGAAAACAAAAUCUAAAAGGAAAAUACAAGUAGGACUUUUGAGAUGUGUUUGUAGCUAUGACUCCUUAUUCAUAAGUAUC